AUUGAACGCUGGCGGCAGGCCUAACACAUGCAAGUCGAGCGGGGUUUUCGGACCUAGCGGCGGACGGGUGAGUAAUGCGUAGGAAGCUACCCGAUAGAGGGGGAUACCAGUUGGAAACGACUGUUAAUACCGCAUAAUGUCUACGGACCAAAGUGUGGGACCUUCGGGCCACAUGCUAUCGGAUGCGCCUACGUGGGAUUAGCUAGUUGGUGGGGUAAUGGCUCACCAAGGCGACGAUCCCUAGCUGGUUUGAGAGGUUGAUCAGCCACACUGGAGCUGAGACACGGUCCAGACUCCUACGGGAGGCAGCAGUGGGGAAUAUUGGACAAUGGGCGCAAGCCUGAUCCAGCCAUGCCGCGUGUGUGAAGAAGGCCUUCGGGUUGUAAAGCACUUUCAGUAGGGAGGAAGGGUUAAGUGUUAAUAGUACUUAACUUUGACGUUACCUACAGAAGAAGCACCGGCUAACUCUGUGCCAGCAGCCGCCGUAAAAC
rnacentral:rRNA from 1 species